rnacentral:rRNA from 1 species
AUGCACACUCCUGCCCAGCCAUACUCUGAUAAGAAGUUGUUUGAGAUGAAGGGGGAACUUGCUUUCUGGGGCGGCAGAUACUCCAGCUCGAAUAUCGGUUUAACAGUCAUCGAUGUCUGGGUGAUGCAGGAUUACAAGGUCGGAAUAUGGGGUUUCCAGUACCGGAUGGACCUCUCAUCGUUGGAGGCAUCACGACAACUAUAUCUAUCUUCUUACAAAAAGAAAAAGAAAACACCACUUCGUCAAGCACUACAAUGGUUCAACGAUGUGGUUCUGCUCAACGAGCGUGAGCUGCUAAUAAGGUUUAAUUCAGAACAUGUGCUGCGCUGCGACACUGAUGGUAAGUUUUUAGGUAUGGUGAACAUUGGGAAGAGUCAAUAUCGCAUGAUGCUCACCCAGUACUACCUCAGUGAGAGCAUUAUUCCAAUUCCCUCCAAUGAUAUGCAAGAAGAUGACGAAGUGCCUCCAAUCAUAGGGCAUAUCUAA